rnacentral:lncRNA from 1 species
UAUACGUAUACCUUGAUGGGGUUUUUGGAUUAACAGCUAUGAGCCUUUAUUAUUUACCAGCCCAUAGAAGCUGAUCAACUGACGUUCCCCAUAACCUCAACACAGAACCUCAAGCUGGGUCAGGGUAAUUUGAUUUAUUCUGUGGAUUUAGUGUACCUAAUUUAAUUUGCUGGGAAACCCAUGAGAUAGAAGGAGAGCCAAGAGAGGACACAAACAGAUCAUGUAUUUUUUUGUUUAAUGAGUUUAAGAGAUUUACGGCAAUAAAUGGGAUUUUCAAGCA